rnacentral:rRNA from 1 species
GACGAACGCUGGCGGCGUGCCUAAUACAUGCAAGUAGAACGCACAGUUUAUACCGUAGCUUGCUACACCAUAAACUGUGAGUUGCGAACGGGUGAGUAACGCGUAGGUAACCUGCCUGGUAGCGGGGGAUAACUAUUGGAAACGAUAGCUAAUACCGCAUAAUAUUGAUUAUUGCAUGAUAAUUGAUUGAAAGAUGCUAUUGCAUCACUACCAGAUGGACCUGCGUUGUAUUAGCUAGUAGGUGAGGUAACGGCUCACCUAGGCGACGAUACAUAGCCGACCUGAGAGGGUGAUCGGCCACACUGGGACUGAGACACGGCCCAGACUCCUACGGGAGGCAGCAGUAGGGAAUCUUCGGCAAUGGACGAAAGUCUGACCGAGCAACGCCGCGUGAGUGAAGAAGGUUUUCGGAUCGUAAAGCUCUGUUGUAAGAGAAGAACGGGUGUGAGAGUGGAAAGUUCACACUGUGACGGUAUCUUACCAGAAAGGGACGGCUAACUACGUG